AUUGAACGCUGGCGGCAGGCCUAACACAUGCAAGUCGAACGGCAGCGGGGGAUAGCUUGCUGUCCUGCCGGCGAGUGGCGGACGGGUGAGUAAUGCAUGGGGAGCUGCCCAGUCGAGGGGGAUAACAACUGGAAACGGUUGCUAAUACCGCAUACGCCCUAAGGGGGAAAGGUGGGGAACUUUGGUCCAACCGCGAUUGGAUGAGCCAAUGUGGGAUUAGCUAGUUGGUGAGGUAACGGCUCACCAUGGCGACGAUUUCUAGCGGGUCUGAAAGGAUGACCAGCCACACUAGAACUGAGACACGGUCCAGACUCCUACGGGAGGCAGCAGUGGGGAAUAUUGCACAAGGGGGGAAACCCUGAUGCAGCCAUGCCGCGUGUGUGAAGAAGGCCUUCGGGUUGUAAAACACUUUCAGUCAGGAGGAAGGGGUGAUGGCUAAUAUCCAUCAUCAUUGACGUUACUGACAGAAGAAGCACCGGCUAACUCCGUGCCAGCAGCCGCCGUAA
rnacentral:rRNA from 1 species